rnacentral:rRNA from 1 species
AUUGAACGCUGGCGGCAGGCCUAACACAUGCAAGUCGAACGAGUGGCGGACGGGUGAGUAAUGUCUGGGAAACUGCCUGAUGGAGGGGGAUAACUACUGGAAACGGACGCUAAUACCGCAUACUAUCAGAUGAGCCUAGGUCGGAUUAGCUUGUUGGGGGGGUAACGGCUCACAAAGGCGACGAUCCCUAGCUGGUCUGAGAGGAUGACCAGCCAUACUGGAACUGAGACACGGUCCAGACUCCUACGGGAGGCAGCAGUGGGGAAUAUUGCACAAUGGGCGCAAGCCUGAUGCAGCCAUGCCGCGUGUAUGAAGAAGGCCUUCGGGUUGUAAAGUACUUUCAGCGGGGAGGCGUUACCCGCAGAAGAAGCACCGGCUAACUCCGUGCCAGCAGCCGCGGUAAUAC